GCAAAAAAAGUAGUAAAACGCCUGCAUGUAAAAAUGGGUUGUGUAGUUAUUUUUGUGUGAUAUUACACAAUUUAGUAGUACUCCGCUUCACAAUUUUUUCUAACACCAUUUACACCUAAAAUGUGUAAAAUUAUACACAUUUUUCGUUUAUAUUGCAUUUGCGUGUUGUUUGCUAUCCAGCUGUCAAAAUAUCCAAACUAAACUCAACUCGCGUGAAUCAAAACAGUUCGGAAAAUCAGCAAGAGUGAAUAUUUUGAUUCGUUUGAGGAUUAAAACCAUCUUCAAGGCUGAAAAUCAUGAAAAUAUACAAAGGAUUUUUUUUAGGUUUGAAAUUUCCCGGAAGCGACGGUCCAAAACCGAUCCUACUGCAAGUGUCCGGCCAACCAGCUGGCGCCACAAUUCACUGUUUAAGAAGCCGGUUCGGUGUUGCGACCAGCAGCAGUUGCCACGAUUGGCAUCGUUUGCCACUGCACCAGGAACCCUCUGGACGAUAUCUGGUUCUCGAAAACUUCCGGAAUCAACGCUGCCACUGAAGCUGCAAAACCAUAGAAGCCGAAAAUUGUCCCGAACGGGCUCGUGUCAAGGUAGACGGAGAAUACGCAGCCAGUCAAGUUUCCGUCGCUGACCUCCGCCGGCUCCGGAGGUAACUCGAAGAGGGUGGCACUGGCGCUGGUGAGUGAAGUUGUAAUUGCUUGUUCAAUUUGAACACCGGCAGACAGGAGCAGGACAGCGUGUUUCCCCGUGUUUCCCACCGAUACUUGCUCGUUCAUGACUUCACCGUCAAAAAUAUCGCUGAUUCGCGCCGGAAUCUGUUCGAACAGUGUUUUGCUCUGGGCGCGAUUCUUGAACCGAGCUGGCUGGAUUUGCCCCCGCUGACGUUGCCAUUGCGUGAUGCUUCGAACGUUAUGGUGCUCCCCUCUCGCCGGGUAGUGACGAAACCCCGAAAGGCCUGAAUCCGCUUCAGAAAUCGGUCAACGAGACAUACAUCUCUAACCCACACGAACGUCGUGCGAAUGCUCUGCAUUUCGUACAACUUUUUAUACGAAGUCCCAUUCUUCAACCCUUUAGGAGGAACCACACCCGGGUCGUUUGCGAUCAUCGUCAUCUCGGCCACACAUGGAAGGUUGGCCGCGAAAAGGAUACGCACCUCGUCAACACCUGGGCCGUUCGCGAUCAUCCGCACAUCGACCACAGAACAACCGAUUCGGAAAGAAUGUUGUCCACUCACUAGCCGUAUAACACCAGUUCUGGCUUAAAAUCAGGUGCAAUCUUCAAGAAUCAACGCCGGGCAUUCGAGCUA